rnacentral:tmRNA from 1 species
GGGGGCGUAAAGGUUUCGACAGGGAGCAUGAGCUUCGGCAAGCGAGCAGCGGCACUGUGGAACCGCUAUAAAAUCCGCAGACAUAAAAACAAACGACAACAAUAAAACUGUUGCCCUUGCUGCCUGAUUAGGCGCAAGCGUUCCUGAGGAAGUACCACGGUCCGACUGGAGCGUCGAUGAGUGGUGAACGUGAACAGAAGAACGUCUUGGCUUCUGUCAUGAUCGAAAGACUACCGUAACGCAGGGUCUGUUGACGAGCCCUGUGUGAGGGGAAUCCUGAUUCGUUGACUGCGCUCGGAGAAAACCGUUGUAAGUGCUUUUUGGACAGGGGUUCGACUCCCCUCGCCUCCA